GGGGAAUUAGCUCAAAUGGUAGAGCACUUGCUAAGCAUGCAAGAGGUAGCAGUAUCAAGUCCCGCAUUCUCCA
rnacentral:tRNA from 1 species